UUCAUGUGAGUGCCAGGGUGCAUUUCAGCAAAAGCUGCAGAGUCGCUGCCUUCAUACCAGAAAGAGGAGACAUCUAAACAAAUUGCCAUAUUCCUGGGAUCUAGAAGUUUUCAAAAUUCUCAAAAAAAUCUAUCUAGAAGAUACGUUUUUGGUCUUCCUGAUUUUACUGAGAACCUUGGACACAUCAGAAAUCUCUUGGCCCUACUCACCCAGACAGUAUCAAAAAACAUAGUGUGAAGACAGGAUCAAAAUAGGCCCCGUGAAAUUUGGUCUCUGAAGAAACAUUACUCUGGAGGCUGGAAAGGAGAACAGGCAUGUGUCUGCAAUCCCUUCUGUGAAGAGGAGAAGAGAUAGCUGUGCUCAUGGAAAGCAUCUAUUACGCCCACAUGAAACACAGUGUCUCUUCAAAGUUUUGUGAAUCUUGCUUGUUGAUGUGGAAUGACAAAUGAUAAGCAGAAGUAAAAAUUGCACUCAUUAGAGCUCCCAACACCAUCUGGAGAAAGGGAUGGAAGCCCCUGGCAACUCCUUACUAAAGACAGAGGGUGACUAGAGGCUAUGCAAGAUGAGAAAAUGCUGCAUUAAAUUCAAAACACAACAUCUUCUUAUGCAACAGGGAGAUCUUUCUCAGGACCCUGCACAUGUAGAAUUAACUAAGGAGCAUCCUAAACAUUACCAUUUUUCACUCGAAGUGAAAGGCAUAUUUUUUGACCUUGUCAUUUCUAGCAUAAGCACAUAUAACAGCACGUGUCAGUAUCCAUGUAUAAAAAUUCAGAAACAUAACACUCUACUGCACACACUUCUCCCCCUGGGGAGACAGUGAGCGAACAAACACAUGCCAGAUGGUAGUCGCAUUGCUUAGUGCACUACUGGAAGGCACUCAGUUAUUGCAGAGACAAACACAACAUGCAGUGAAAGCAGAGUCUACACAACAGCCACUUUUUGGUGCUGUGUGUUUGUAUACUGCUUAGCACAAUGGAGUCCUGGUCCAUAACAAGGUCCACACAUGCUAUCAAACAAAGGACAGUGACAUUUCCUAGCUUUUACAUGGAUGGAUGUAGAGGCUGAAAGGUGGGUGAAAAGCAAGCGCUCUGGUUCAACUCUGCCAUUUAAUCCUCUGUACCACUUUUACAAGAUAAUGCUUAGGAAUAAGAGCACAAACAUACAAAGAACUAUUUUAAACUUCAAAGAACUUAAAAAUAUUAAUUGGUUCAAAGGUCAACACUGCCAGCCCUCAGUUUACAGAAUUUCAAGUGAAUCCUCUAAAUUUGGAUACCAUUUUCUCAAUUCAGUCAUAAGUAUUCAUCAUAUCCUUUUAUUGUUAGGAAGACUUCAUAGCAUGUUUUGAUUACCUGAUACUUUCCACUGCAGAGCAUUCUGCAGGAAACUUUACUUUGAGAAUUGUACUGAAGACCAAUGCUUUUGCUAGCCUUUAAAAAUCAGCACGUAGAAAUCAUCAGGUGGCAAUUUGUCGUCUAAAUUUAUUCUAUGCAAUUUCACUCAAAUUUUGCAGGGUGAUUGAAGGGGAGGGGGAAAUGGUGUUUUCCUUCUGUUGCUUGUGCUUCUUGGAAGAUUUUGCCGUGGUAAGACUACUUAAAACAGCAACUCAAAAUAGCUGAGACUUUGCACUUAACAAUAGCUGCAGAAACUGCUGUGGGAGCAGAGAGACCAGAAUAAGUCUACAUGGUUAUGAGGUCCAUCCUAUAGUUCAAGUGCUAAGUGGGUACUUAUUAAGGUUUCAGGAGUCACAGCAAGCUCUAGAUCUACAAGGCAGUUACUCUUGACAGUGCUUAACAUUACAAUGUGUGAUUACCUUUUUUCCCUUAUGUUAAAAUAGUGGCAACUGAAGUUCUUUUUCUUCAUUGUGCAAGUUGAACUCUGUUUGCUUUUGCACGGUGGCUGAGACAGAUGGCCAGUAAAGGGAGGUGGGUUUGGAUGGAUGCUAGUAAAUCUGGCAUUUCUUUUCUUCUGGGAAUCCAAUUUUUCUAAGUUAUAAUCUUCUUGUUCUAAGCAUACCAUUAUUAUAUGGUGGUUGUGGGCCAUCCUGGCAGCUGAUAUAAGAAGAGUGUGUCAUUCAGGACUUUAUCCACCAAAUAAUUAUAAAUACAUUAUGCUUACAGUGAGUUGAAAGACCAGAAAACCAACAGUUGUACCUGUAAUUAGAAAUUAAGUGUUUUCAAUGAAGAAGGCUCAAACAUGGACAGCACUAAUGAGUGGAUGAGCUGAACAAGUUUAUGAGAGGACAGGCACACUCACAGCUGCUUAUCAGGUGUUUCAUUGCAUCUGUGUAUUUUCAGUAGGGGGUAUGAGGUGCCUUCAAGGCUCAAGUCCAGAGGUCUAUAAGCAAUACUUAAGUAUUUCCUCCAUCUCUAAAAUGCACAUGUAAAUUUAGAAGGCAGAGAUGGUGAAUCGAAAUCAGCACAUUAAAAAGACUGUAUUUUUUAUCAUUGUUCUAACCCAACAAAAUUUAGCAGAUGGCCCACACAGCAUUUUUGCAUUUUUCUGCACAAAAUAAGCUCUAGUCCUACUCUCAUUUUCUUAAUAUUACUAGUGUAAAAUAGAGCACAGGCUGAGAAACACUGAGGUUUUUUCUCAUCCUAUAUGUUCCCCUCAUUCAUUUUUUGGCUUCCAGGCAUUUCUGUUUGUCAUGCUGUAAUGGAUUUCUUGCCAUCCAAAUGGCUUUGUGAAUACUACUAAACACUCAGAAACUUAAUAUAUAUAUUUAGCAAAAGCCUGUGUGUCACAGUUCAAAUUGAAGAAUGAGAAGCUGACCAAUAAAUGCUGCAGCUGAGGCUGAGAUAAAUAUUCACUAACAAAUUGGAUAUUACAUAUGCAAUUUCAUGAACUCUACAACAAAUGACUAAUAUAACCUCUUUUAAGUGUGUCAAUGAAUUACACACCACUGAAACCAAUCAAAAUACACUGAUAUCAGAGAUGGAGAAAGACGAAAGUCAGUCAUGGGAGAAGAAAACAGAUUUUUAAAAAUUAUUUUCCUCUGUUAUUCCUUAAGUCUCACUCAGGUCAUUAGAAAUCUAACAAGAGUCAUAAACAUGGGCUACAAAAAUUAAAUGCGAUUUUCAUGUCUAGAUCUCACAAAUAUCAUGUAUUCGUCAAAGCUUGUUAAAUCAAGUUUUCUGUUAUUUUCCAUGAUCUUUCUUCUGCUUUACCAGCUGUAACUGUACAGUGUUAAAAACACAUCAGAGUGAAGCUGCUAGCAACAGGUCACUGAAGAAUGAUUGCAAAAACAACUAACUGAAGUUCCCAAAAUGCCCACUCUUCUUUUCCCCAAAAUAAAAGGCCCAUGAAACUCCUGACACUCUGCAUGGUUUAUAAAACAGUAAACCCAGUCAGUUUUGUUACAAAGGAGAAUAUCACUUGAUCUCAUAGAUGAAUUUUUUUUUUUCAGGAUUAGACAAGCUGAUGGCACUAACAGCAACGUAACUGGGAGUUCACAUUAAAAAAAAAUGCCCUAGAACUUAUUUCUCAGCAAUGCAGUUCAAUAGAAUUUGUAUAUAAUGAGCUCCAUAGUAGUCUGAAGAUGAAAGAUGAUGACUUAUUAGAAGCGACUGUUUAUUUGAACAUUACCAUAAACAAGUAUUUGACAAAAAGCGUCAGCUCAGUAUUCAGAGAUUUACUUUCUUGUUUACUGGCAUGCCAGAGAACCGGAAGACUAUCUGCAGGUUUUGAAGCUUUGACAACAUGUUGGCUGCUCAGCAGUCUAUAGGAAAAUCAGAGAUAGAGAUGAAAGCUUAUUUUUAGAAUUCAUGGCUAGCAAUAUAGAGAGAGAAUGUCUUUGAAAUGGCAGUCACUUCUAACACUCACACAUUUCAGAGAACUGUUUCUCUGCUUAUCCACCUAUCUGUUACAGUCAAUGUUAGAAUGAGGAAGUAUUAUGCAAAAAACAGUCAAUAUUUUCCCCCAAAAUUUAAUAAAAUAAUCUUUGUAGUUUCAUUCUGGAA